rnacentral:tRNA from 2 species
GCCCUGAUGGUGUAGCGCGGCCAAUCAUAAUGGACUCUCAAUCCAUUGACCCGGGUUCAAAUCCCGGUCAGGGCACCA